ACAGUUGAUGAAUCCAGCUUAUUAUAAACAUGAUCAUGGAUGAAUUUGCUCCAUUAGAUUGCCUUUUGCCUUCAGGAAAACAGAGGAUUUGCAUGGUUAUCCUAAAUCAGCCGAUAGAUGAGCAGUACUUCCAUGUGCUGUGGAGUAAAGCCAAGAUCCGAGCAUGUGCAGACGGAGGUGCCAAUCAUCUGUACCGGCUCACGGAGGGUC